GGAUGAACGCUGGCGGCGUGCUUAACCCAUGCAAGUCGACCGGAAAGGCCCAAGCUUGCUUGGGUACUCGAGUGGCGAACGGGUGAGUAACACGUGGGUGAUCUGCCCUGCACUUCGGGAUAAGCCUGGGAAACUGGGUCUAAUACCGGAUAGGACCACUUCUUGGUUGUUGUGGUGGAAAGUUUUUUCGGUGUGGGAUGAGCUCGCGGCCUAUCAGCUUGUUGGUGGGGUAAUGGCCUACCAAGGCGUCGACGGGUAGCCGGCCUGGGAGGGUGUACGGCCACAUUGGGACUGGGGUACGGCCCAGAAUCCUACGGGAGGCAGCAGUGGGGGAUAUUGCACAAUGGGGGCAAGCCUGAUGCAGCGACGCCGCGUGGGGGAUGACGGCCUUCGGGUUGUAAACUCCUUUCGCUAGGGACGAAGCGUUUUGUGACGGUACCUGGAGAAGAAGCACCGGCUAACUACGUG
rnacentral:rRNA from 1 species